rnacentral:rRNA from 1 species
UGCAGGGGGGGCAAGCGUUGUUCGGAAUUACUGGGCGUAAAGGGCUCGUAGGCGGCCAACUAAGUCCGACGUGAAAUCCCAAAGCUUAACUGGGGAAGCGCCUUGGAUACUGCCGGCCUCGAGGGGGGUAGGGGCGCGCGGAACUUCCGGUGGAGCGGUGAAAUGCGUAGAUAUCGGAAGGAACACCGGUGGCGAAAGCGGCGCGCUGGGCCCCUUCUGACGCUGAGGCGCGAAAGCCAGGGGAGCAAACGGG